rnacentral:rRNA from 1 species
UACGUAGGGUGCAAGCGUUAAUCGGAAUUACUGGGCGUAAAGCGUGCGCAGGCGGUUAUAUAAGACAGUUGUGAAAUCCCCGGGCUCAACCUGGGAACUGCAUCUGUGACUGUAUAGCUAGAGUACGGUAGAGGGGGAUGGAAUUCCGCGUGUAGCAGUGAAAUGCGUAGAUAUGCGGAGGAACACCGAUGGCGAAGGCAAUCCCCUGGACCUGUACUGACGCUCAGGCACGAAAGCGUGGGGAGCAAACAGG